rnacentral:lncRNA from 1 species
CCCUUCCUUUGGUGCCUCUGAGCCUCCCCAGAACCCUCUCGAGGGCGAGCCUGACCCAAGGGAGGCUGUGCAGGGAGCCAAGUCGGCCUGGCCGCCGCUGGUCUGCGCCGCUGCGGGGCUGUCAGGGUCCCCUGUGCGCCCCGAGCCCGGUGGCAGAGGCGGUGGGUGUGGCAGGCUGGGUCUGCAGCUGGGGACCACAGGCUCUGUAGCAGUUGUCACAAGAUGCGAUUUAGGCAGCCGGAACCCCCUCGGGGCCUCCCCUGGUCCUCACGGUGGGUUCUGGCCUUGGGGGUGGGCAGAGAAGCAAGGGUGUGCUCCCCGAGGACCUGAGCUGGGCUGGGGGACGGGCCUGGCCUGGGCCCUGGUGCUGCUGUUGCCCACCCCGAGGCUCCCAGCCUGCUGCCAGCUGCUCGCCCGCCCUCGUGCUGUGGGCCGUGUGCCCCUGUUCUCGCCUCCUUGGCCCCCGGGGCAGCCGGUCGGGGGCCCCUGGUCUGCGCCUCGGGUCUGCAGAGCCCUGCUUGUCCGGGGGCAUCUGGGGGUGCGCUGCAGGGGCAGGGGGGGGGCGGUGUGUGUCCUGCAGACCGCGGAGACUCUGUGCCUGAGGACCAGGGUCUGGGCUGGGGGGGCCGGUCCCUGCUCAGCGUUCUUCUGUGUUUCACGAUCUUUUUAAGUUUUCCUUGUUUUUGUUUUUAUUUUUCUUCAAGAUUUUAUGUUUGAGAGAGCGCGCCCCAGGGGCCACGGGAGGGGCAGAGGGAGAGGGAGGAGCUCCCUGCUGAGCGGGGACCCCCACCCCCACCCCGGGGCUCCAUCCCAGGACCCGGGCUCUCACCCAGAGCCUCCACUGAGCCUUCCAGGCGCCCCGUAACUUCUCCGUGUUUUAAAAUGCGGGUACGGUACCGAAGCCAAGGUGUCCCAACCCCGUCCCGAGCGGGCCGUGCUCUGCUGCCACCUGGUGGCCACCAUGCCCCCUGCGCGGCACUCGGUGGGCGGCCCGCUGUGUGGGGACCUGCACCCCGCCGCUGGGGUGCGCCCGCCUUCCGGGGGGCCUGCCGUCUCUGGCUCCUGGGCCAACCCAGCUUGGGGCGAUGGGGGCGGAUGGGGGCCCCGGGACCGUGACUGCCUGCUGGGACCCUGUGACUGCGGCCUGAGGGGCAGGGCCCCUGGGCCCCUGGGGCUCCCCCGGGUGGGGGCGGGGCGCAGCGCUGGCGGCUCCUCGGCCUGGCUGCGCUGUAACCGGGCCCGCCGGGACGGCCCAGGCCUGUCUGUGCGGAGCCCGCGAUCCCUCUGCUCUCUCGCCAAACGGCCGUUAAUGGCCUCUCCCAGCUACUGAACCGGCAGCUGCCUCCAGCCUGGCGGCCUCCCGCGCCUCCGCUCCUCCGGCCCCUCG